GCGAAGUGCAAGCAGGGGAAAUGCCAGAUGCUCACAAAACCGUCAGAUCUCCUGAGAAUUCACUAUCACAAGAAAAGCAUGGGGGAAACUGCCCCCAUGAUCCAAUCACCUCCUUCCCUCCACAUGUGGAGAUUACAAUUUGAGAUGAGAUUUGGGUGGGGACACAGAGCAAAACCAUAUCAUCUCCCUUUCUUCCUUCCUUCUUCAAUCCCUUCCUUCCUUCUUUCCUCUCUUCUUCUCUUGCUCCCUCUCUUCCUUCCUUUUUUCUUUCCUCCCUUCCUCCCUCUCUCCUUUUCUUUCUUUCCCUUUCCUCCUUCCCUCCCGUCCUUCCUCUCUUCUUCUUUCUUUCCCUUCCCUUCCUUCCUUGGUACCUCCAUUCCUCCUUCCCUACCUCCCUCUCUCCUUCUUUCUUUCCCCUUUUUGGGGGAGGGGUGUGGUGGACAAAUGCAGAGUUAAAAUUAUGUAAAUUAAAUUUGUCAAAUAUAUCACUCCACUGUAGCAAAUUUCAUUACUGCUUGUACCUCCUUACACUUACCCCAGCCAUGAGUAGAAUGUUGUUGUUAUUGUUGUUUUAAUCUUUAGAUGUGUGUAGACAGAAUGUUAAGUUACUGACAAUGCUAUAGGCAUUGCUUUGUUUGCUAGUGCAAAGGAUCAUUUUUUCCCAGCUUCUUGGCUGUCCAUGUUUCCGUCCUGAGUUGUCUUUCCUGCACUUUGCAGGCAUGGAAACCUUGUUCCACACAUUGCCUGGUGCCCUGUCCAGCGCUGCAAGGUGCACUGCGUCUCCUCUGCCCAGCAAGCCACAAGCCCCUCCAGGGUGAGAGGAGAGCCUUCCCUUCCCUUGGUCCUCCCUUCGACACAGGGAGCUGGAGCUGGACAGCCCCAUAGGCACUCAGGGCUUGAAGAAGAUAUCUAGAAAUGUCAAAGCAGAAGAGCCUCGGAGAUAAUCUGAACUAUUUCUGAGUUUAUAUAAGGGAAAACUGAGACUGGAGAGAACUAACAUGUCUAAUAUUACAAUGGAAACUUGUAAUAAAACCACAAAUUGAGUCAAGUCUCCUGAUUCACUAUAUGAGCUUCUUUUGACUCUAAGAAACUGUCCUUCACAAAGUUCCCAAGAAAGAAUGGAUUGGCCAGAUCGAUAGAGGAAUUUCUGAGGAAACUGCACUUGUGUUU
rnacentral:lncRNA from 10 species